GUGGCUGGUGCUUUGGGAUGGCAAAAAGUGUGUCCGAUACGGCAAAGGUGGACUGUGGGAAAACAAGGAUACAUGCUAUAUACUGUAUGCCACAGUGCGCAAUGGUGGGCUAGUUGUGUAGCUGGUGGCGUUGAUCCGUGAGUGCGGGCGUCUGAGCCGUGGCUCAGAACUUGUGCGAUGGUAACGGCGUGCGUAGGGGACGCGACUUCUUGCGGCGGAGCGGCGAUGGAUGCCGAUGGGGUGACCGGUUCCCACGAUGGGAGGAGUUCGCGAACAGCUUGGAGCAGUCAGAUCCGGUCCCUCUGAUGCUGCUGCCGCGGAGUGUGGAAGCGCCGGCUGCGCGCAGCAAUUAGGGGGCUGCAGCCAGGUUUGGAUCCGUUGGUGGCCGUUUACUGAAAAAAUGUUGACCCUGUUGGCAAUGUGAAAUUACGGUGGAGAUGGUGAUACGAGGGGUGCCGGACUGCUGAUGCACUAGCAGGAGCAGCCCCUGGAGAAGGCGCUGGGCCUAAUCCGGAUCUGCUACUCUUCCAGCCUUUCCCUAGCAGUUCUGCUGGCUUCUCUCCAGUUAAUCGGUUCCAUCUCUUCAGAUUACAAUUGAUUCAGAUCUAUUGCUUGUUGAAUUUUCUAGCAAGUCAAUUGGUUUGUUGGCUUAUCCAUGCCUAUGAUUAUUGGGCGAGUUUAUGUGAAAAAAAUAGUAUUGAGGCACCAGCAACAAAUCACUAGUUCAUUUCUUGCAAAUUAAAUUACCCUAGUGAAUUACAUUCCCCAUUUGUUUGAUGUUGAUGUCUCCCACAUGCUUUAGCCGAAACAUUGAUCACCGAGGAAGUGAUGAUGCCCUCUUCUAUUUGAUUUCUCAAGUAAUGUCUCAUGAAGGUAGUACCAAUCAAUUUAUUUGAUUAAGUUGAGCAAUUGUGUUUUGCUUCUUGAUUACAAUUCAUGCCGCAGACACAUAGGGUUAUUUUUCGAUGCCUGCUAAGAAUAUGAGCUUGGUAUUUGUAAGCGGGGUCACUUGAUUUAUUUAUGGUGAAGUGGUAUGCUCAAGAACCUUUUGACUUGUAGACCAAAAC